GACGUAGGGCGCAAGCGUUGUCCGGAUUUAUUGGGCGUAAAGAGCUCGUAGGCGGCUUGUUGCGUCGACUGUGAAACUCGAGGCUCAACCUCGGGCUUGCAGUGGAUACGGGCAGACUAGAGUGCGGUAGGGGAGACUGGAAUUCCUGGUGUAGCGGUGGAAUGCGCAGAUAUCAGGAGGAACACCGAUGGCGAAGGCAGGUCUCUGGGCCGCAACUGACGCUGAGGAGCGAAAGCAUGGGGAGCGAACAGG
rnacentral:rRNA from 1 species